CCCCUAGAUGUUCUGGGCCGCACGCGCGCUACACUGAUGCAUUCAACGAGCACCCGCUGGGCCGAGAGGUCCGGCUAAUCUUUGAACGUGCAUCGUGCUGGGGAUAGAUGAUUGCAAUUAUUCAUCUUCAACGAGGAAUUCCUAGUAAACGCAAGUCAUCAGCUUGCAUUGAUUACGUCCCUGCCCUUUGUACACACCGCCCGUCGCACCUACCGAUUGAAUGGUCCGGUGAAAUUCUCGGACGCGGACUUGCGAUGUUAAUUCGGAGCUUGACUGUGAAAGUUAAUUAAACCUUACCAUUUAGAGGAAGGUGAAGUCGUAACA
rnacentral:rRNA from 1 species